rnacentral:rRNA from 1 species
AUUGAACGCUGGCGGCAUGCCUUACACAUGCAAGUCGAACGGUAACAGGUCUUCGGAUGCUGACGAGUGGCGAACGGGUGAGUAAUACAUCGGAACGUGCCUAGUAGUGGGGGAUAACUACUCGAAAGAGUGGCUAAUACCGCAUGAGAUCUACGGAUGAAAGCAGGGGAUCGCAAGUCCUUGUGCUACUAGAGCGGCCGAUGGCAGAUUAGGUAGUUGGUGGAUAAAAGCUUACCAAGCCGACGAUCUGUAGCUGGUCUGAGAGGACGAUCAGCCACACUGGGACUGAGACACGGCCCAGACUCCUACGGGAGGCAGCAGUGGGGAAUUUUGGACAAUGGGCGAAAGCCUGAUCCAGCAAUGCCGCGUGCAGGAUGAAGGCCUUCGGGUUGUAAACUGCUUUUGUACGGAACGAAAAGCCCCGGGUUAAUACCCUGGGGUCAUGACGGUACCGUAAGAAUAAGCACCGGCUAACUACGUGCCAGCCGCCGCAGUAA